AAUCCGCAUACUGCAAAAUAAACAAAUGAUCAUUCAACCCAAUUAACCACACAAUGUCUUGCAUUUUCAACAUAAAAAAACCGAAUCAUGUGCAGUACUAAGCAAGAUUAUUUGAAGAAGGGAAACAGUUCAACAUAACAAGAAUAAAUUGUAAUGCAGCAGUUAUUCAAUCAAGCUACACUGCAGCAACCAUGCAGCUCUCCAUGGU
rnacentral:lncRNA from 1 species